UUUUGAAGCUGCCAAGAUGCUGUCUUUCACUGAGGAGGAAUUUAUGAAAGCACUUGAAUGGAAUGGGGAAAUAAAUAAGUGAUCUACACUUAAUGAUGCAAUCUCCCUAUGUUGCCCAUGGUGGUCUUCAACUCCUGGGCUCAAGCGAUCCUCCUGCCUCAGCCUCCCAAAGUGCUGGGAUUAUAGGCAUGAAUCACUGUGCCCAGCCAGUUAUUAUUUUAUUUGCAGUCACGACGUGUGUCGGGUAUACAUUAAAAUUCACUAUCUUCUAGAAUUU